UACGGGGGGAGCAAGCGUUGUUCGGAUUUACUGGGCGUAAAGGGCGCGUAGGCGGUCAGCACAAGUCAGUUGUGAAAUCUCCGGGCUUAACUCGGAAAGGUCAACUGAUACUGUGCGACUAGAGUGCGGAAGGGGCAACUGGAAUUCUCGGUGUAGCGGUGAAAUGCGUAGAUAUCGAGAGGAACACCUGCGGCGAAGGCGCUCACUGGCCCGGUACUGACGCUGAGGUGCGAAAGCGUGGGGAGCAAACAGG
rnacentral:rRNA from 1 species